rnacentral:rRNA from 1 species
UACAGAGGGUGCGAGCGUUAAUCGGAAUUACUGGGCGUAAAGCGUGCGUAGACGGUUAUUUAAGUCGGGUGUGAAAGCCCCGGGCUCAACCUGGGAAUUGCAUUCGAGACUGAAUAGCUAGGGUACGGUAGAGGGAAGCGGAAUUUCCGGUGUAGCGGUGAAAUGCGUAGAUAUCGGAAGGAACAUCAGUGGCGAAAGCGGCUUCCUGGACCAGUACCGACGUUCAGGCACGAAAGCCGUGGGGAGCAAACAGGA